AGUGAACGCUGGCGGUAGGCCUAACACAUGCAAGUCGAACGGCAGCACAGUAAGAGCUUGCUCUUACGGGUGGCGCGUGGCGGACGGGUGAGGAAUACAUCGGAAUCUACUUUUUCGUGGGGGAUAACGUAGGGAAACUUACGCUAAUACCGCAUACGACCUACGGGUGAAAGCAGGGGAUCUUCGGACCUUGCGCGAUUGAAUGAGCCGAUGUCGGAUUAGCUAGUUGGCGGGGUAAAGGCCCACCAAGGCGACGAUCCGUAGCUGGUCUGAGAGGAUGAUCAGCCAGACUGGAACUGAGACACGGUCCAGACUCCUACGGGAGGCAGCAGUGGGGAAUAUUGGACAAUGGGCGCAAGCCUGAUCCAGGCAUACCGCGUGGGUGAAGAAGGCCUUCGGGUUGUAAAGCCCUGUUGUUGGGAAAGAAAAGCAGCAGGUUAAUACCCCGCUGUUCUGACGGUACCCAAAGAAUAAGCACCGGCUAACUUCGUG
rnacentral:rRNA from 1 species